GGUUAAGCGACUAAGCGUACACGGUGGAUGCCCUGGCAGUCAGAGGCGAUGAAGGGCGUGCUAAUCUGCGAUAAGCGCCGGUAAGGUGAUAUGAACCGUUAUAACCGGCGAUACCCGAAUGGGGAAACCCAGUGUGAUUCGUCACACUAUCAUUAACUGAAUCCAUAGGUUAAUGAGGCGAACCGGGGGAACUGAAACAUCUAAGUACCCCGAGGAAAAGAAAUCAACCGAGAUUCCCCCAGUAGCGGCGAGCGAACGGGGAGGAGCCCAGAGCCUGAAUCAGCAUGUGUGUUAGUGGAAGCGUCUGGAAAGGCGCGCGAUACAGGGUGACAGCCCCGUACACAAAAGCGCAUGUGCUGUGAGCUCGAUGAGUAGGGCGGGACACGUGGUAUCCUGUCUGAAUAUGGGGGGACCAUCCUCCAAGGCUAAAUACUCCUGACUGACCGAUAGUGAACCAGUACCGUGAGGGAAAGGCGAAAAGAACCCCGGCGAGGGGAGUGAAAAAGAACCUGAAACCGUGUACGUACAAGCAGUGGGAGCACCCUUUUGGGUGUGACUGCGUACCUUUUGUAUAAUGGGUCAGCGACUUAUAUUCUGUAGCAAGGUUAACCGAAUAGGGGAGCCGUAGGGAAACCGAGUCUUAACCGGGCGUUAAGUUGCAGGGUAUAGACCCGAAACCCGGUGAUCUAGCCAUGGGCAGGUUGAAGGUUGGGUAACACUAACUGGAGGACCGAACCGACUAAUGUUGAAAAAUUAGCGGAUGACCUGUGGCUGGGGGUGAAAGGCCAAUCAAACCGGGAGAUAGCUGGUUCUCCCCGAAAGCUAUUUAGGUAGCGCCUCGUGAAUUCAUCUCCGGGGGUAGAGCACUGUUUCGGCUAGGGGGCCAUCCCGGCUUACCAACCCGAUGCAAACUGCGAAUACCGGAGAAUGUUAUCACGGGAGACACACGGCGGGUGCUAACGUCCGUCGUGAAGAGGGAAACAACCCAGACCGCCAGCUAAGGUCCCAAAGUCAUGGUUAAGUGGGAAACGAUGUGGGAAGGCCCAGACAGCCAGGAUGUUGGCUUAGAAG
rnacentral:rRNA from 1 species